UGGGGAAUAUUACACAAUGGGCGCAAGCCUGAUGCAGCCAUGCCGCGUGUAUGAAGAAGGCCUUCGGGUUGUAAAGUACUUUCAGUCGGGAGGAAGGUGUCAAGGUUAAUAACCUUGGCAAUUGACGUUACCGACAGAAGAAGCACCGGCUAACUCCGUG
rnacentral:rRNA from 1 species